UUCAAUUGGUUUUGUGUGACUUCGUUUGGUUUGAUUUUAUUUGGUGAGUUAAGAUAGUGCUCACAAGGUGUUUGUGAAAAGUUCUCAUCGAAGAUAAAUUUGAAUUUUUUUUGGUCUCAAUUCUUCUCUUUAAUUGUCUCUUCUUUGGUUGAUCAUCUCUUUGUUGGUAUGUUUGUUUCUCUUCUUUGAUUGUCUUCCUCUCUUUGGUUUCUUCUGAUUGAUUGG
rnacentral:lncRNA from 1 species